GAUGAAGAACGUAGCGAAAUGCGAUAAGUAAUGUGAAUUGCAGAAUUCAGUGAAUCAUCGAAUCUUUGAACGCACAUUGCGCCCGCCAGUAUUCUGGCGGGCAUGCCUGUCCGAGCGUCAUUUUAACCAUCAAGCCCCGGGCUUGUGUUGGGGACCUGCGUCCGACGCAGGCCCUGAAAACCAGUGGCGGGCUCGCUGUCCACACCGAGCGUAGUAACUAACCUCGCUAUGGAGUGGCGCGGACGCCUGCCGUAAAACCCCCAAUUUCACAAGGUUGACCUCGGAUCAGGUAGGAAUACCCGCUGAACUUAAGCAUAUCAAUAAGCGGAGGA
rnacentral:misc_RNA from 1 species